rnacentral:rRNA from 1 species
AUUGAACGCUGGCGGCAUGCCUUACACAUGCAAGUCGAACGGAUUCAAGAGGCUUGCUUCUUGAGUUAGUGGCGAACGGGUGAGUAAAGCAUCGGGACGUACCCAGUUGUGGGGGAUAACGUAGCGAAAGUUACGCCAAUACCGCAUACUCACCGAGGUGGAAAGCGGGGGACCGAAGGGCCUCGCGCAAUUGGUGCGGCCGGUGUCGGAUUAGCUAGUUGGGGAGGUAAAGGCGCACCAAGGCGACGAUCCGUAGCUGGUCUGAGAGGACGACCAGCCACACUGGAACUGAGACACGGUGCAGACUCCUACGGGAGGCAGCAGUGGUGAAUUUUGGACAAUGGGCGAAAGCCUGAUCCAGCCAUGCCGCGUGAGUGAAGAAGGCCUUCGGGUUGUAAAGCUCUUUCAGACGGAAAGAAAUCUUUCGGGUGAAUAUCCCGGAAGGAUGACGGUACCGUAAGAAGAAGCACCGGCUAACUACGUGCCAGCAGCCGCGGUAA